rnacentral:lncRNA from 1 species
CAUCAUCAAUUAAAUUUUUAGAUAGGAUAUCAUGAACCUACAGCCAGUUGAUGAUGCUGAUGCCAUCACUCCAAACCAAUGACGUAUAUGGUGAAAUUAGUGUCAGAAUCAAAGAGAAUUAGUUCAAUAAACAUCAAAAUUUUACAAACAAGGACUAUAUACUGAUCAAUUUUUUGUUCUAAAAAAUCUAAGACAUGCCUGCAUUUUCCAUCAUCCAGAAGCUGC